rnacentral:lncRNA from 1 species
CGUUUUUCUGGCAUGAUGAUUUUGUAACUGUAUUAUGACAGUGUCUGAUCAUCAACUGCAUCCGUUUCGUUUUUCACUUUCAGCCAAUCAGAGCUGCGGACGUUCAUCCGACGUCCGUUACAUCUGAGCUAGGGCAGAUGCAACAGGUUGCAGGUUAGGUCAGUUGCGUGAAAGCAGGUUUGCAGGUUAGGAGGAUACAAUGUUUAAAUUCGCCGUCUACUACUUGUUUGAUAAAACACUUAAAGUGGAAAGUACGUCGGUCAUUCUUGGUAGCGACCAGUUCACCCAAGUGGCAUCCCAGCCGGACUUAGAUGACGAUGCGAACUGGAUUGAAAUAAAAUGGCCCACGAGAAAAGAAACAAACAGGAUGGUGCCUGCUAAGGUGCUGUUAUUUGGAGAUUCCUACAAAGAACUUGUGUCGAAGAAGAAUUUAUUCCUUCUCGGUAAGGAUAUCUGGGCCAAGGAAGAAAGCAGGGGUGUGCGCAUGAAAAAGAAGAUGUGUGAGACCGACGUAGUGAAGCCUAAAACGUCCCAACAGGGAAAGCGAGCAAAGAUUAACAAGGCAGCAAGACGUGUGCUUUUACCCCUGGCAUCCAGUCUAACUUCUGAUGACGCUACAUCCAUAGGAAGUCCACAACGGCAUGACAUUUUUCAAGACCAUGCCUCAGAUGAAGAGUUGGGUUUCUCCCAAGCCCAGAGAAUGAAGCUGAUGGAUGAUAAUACUGGUCAUGGUAUGGCACCUGGAAUGAAUGAAAUCAUGUCAUGCCUUCAUGACCUGCCAGAAAUGAUUAAAUUAAUGAGGGAGUGUGUGGAGUGUGUCCGGGCAUUGAUGUCUUCUAGAGAGACCCCUUCAUUUGCAGCGUCAUCAUCUUCUGUGGACGGCGAAAUUGAAAUGCACCCCUUGGCAGGCAGCACAGUGACCGUUUCAAAGAGGGCUUUCCUGCGGCUGAAUAGAUCUCGCAUGACCAUUUUUGCCCAGGAGCUGGCUGUCCUGGUAUUCACAAAGGAGGGCCUUGCACAGUCCACCCUAACUGGAAAGUCUCGGAAGGGGGGGCCGCCAAAAACACAGCUUGAUGUUGACAAAGUGCAGGCUAUUACAGGUUUGGGGAAUAACAAUUGACGUGAAAGCCUUCCGUGGUUUUAGAGGAAAUCGCUGUGUUUCAAUCGUCCCGUGUUUCAAUCGACCCGGAUCUCCCAGCCAAGUGGUGCUGAUUUUAUUUUUUAUCCUCGAACAACUGAUUGGUUCACAUAGGCCUAGAUUACUUGGUAAUCUCAUUUAUUUUUAUUGUGUUAAUAA